CCUGGGUAUCAAACUGACCGUGGUAUCCCGUCUGUUAUUUCCUCCCAUCCACUUUUCUGUAAAGGGUUGCAUCGCCCCUUUACCCUCCACCACCGAUGAACCUCUACAGUUCUUUCGUUACCCUCCUGGUCGUCAUCGUCACCGUCAUUUGCAGCAUCACCGCAUCUCCUGUCGUGAUCGAGGGUCCACCGGGAAGAAAGUCGAGCGCGAGGAAGUCCGAUCGCAUUGGCAACAGGAUCAUCCCUGACCCAUACGCCCUGGUGGCCCACCCAGAAAUCAAUCCUGUCUUCCCCGCGGAACCUCUGUUCAUCUAAUUUUCCCUCCGACGAUGGCUCUCUUCUUGGCUUUCUCCCUCCUCGCCACUGACAAAGGGCGAAAGGGGGGAUGGGGUCCUCUAAAGGAGUAAGCGAAACUUGAAAUACUGGACUGGACUGUUCAUGGCGGAAACGUACUGAGAUCUCAUUCCCGUCGCUGAAGCCACGCUGGAAUUGGAGGGACGCUCUUCGCCUCUUGUCUUGUUCCAGCUACGAGAUCGGACGAUACUUGGCGUGUCCGUCCCUUCAAGGUCAUCGGUCUCAGGUGUUCGUCGGCAAAUGAAAACCUGCCACUCGCUUCGUUGCCACGGAUAGGUGACCUUGGGCUAUUCAACGCCAUGGACUUGUAAUUAUCAUUUUGGUUUUUUGUGGUGUGACGAUUGCAGAGACGUAGGGAUGGUUAUUCCUUCGUCUGGCUUGUUUCUCUAUGAUUCUGUUUCAGUACGUCAACUUUUUCAUGUUCGUAUUCAUUCAGAAGGCAUCUCAAAUGCUGUUAUUCAGCUACGAUAAUAGAAAAAUAUAUUUAUUUUCUAAGCUUUAAUUAAGUACUGCAUCUGGUAACAUUACUGAUGUAAAUAGUUUUUUUCAAAUAAAAUUUAAAAAAUAGA